AAAAUCUAGUCUAUAUAUUAUAAUAGAUCAAUUUUUGCUUACUGUCCACGUGGGACCCACUUAAUUUCUGGUUUAUUUAUUUUGGUCGAAUAGGUUAAUUAGUUUGGUUUGGUCUGAUUUGGGUUUUCUAAGUUUGGUUCGAUUAUUAUUAAGUCAUUAGGGCUUCAAUAGUUGUUAGCGUUCUUCCACACUUCAUCUUGGCCGUAAAUCUGCAAACCUAAUGAGUUCUCCUCCCAUCUCUUUACCUUCCUGUUCUCUCUCUCUGGUUAAUUUCGGCAAUCACCAUGUCAAACCAACCUGAAUCUUCUUUUUUUUGUUAUUAUAUUUGUAUAUGCAUUGAGUUAGGGUCUACUUGUCAUGUCAUUAAAAAUGAUCUACUUCUCGCUUUGCAGGGUAAGAAAAGGAAGGACACUGUCUUCAUUUUGCUUGCUGAUGAAUCAGAAUGAACAAGGUCGUAAGGUCCAACUUGAAGGUUAGACUGGGUGAUGUCAUCUCUGUACACCAAUGCCCUGACGUCAAGUAUUGAAAGCGUGUGCCUAUCUUGCCUGUUGAUGACACCGUCGAAGGAGUCACCGGAAACCUCUUUGAUGCUUACCUCAAAUGAAUGAGGAGUGUGGAGUUCAAAGUUAUCGAGACUGAUCAAGCUCUAGAUACAUAGAAUCUCUGUGAGGGUGAACCAAUUAAAAGAGAGGAUGCAGCUAAGAAUUGUGUGCUUCUCUAUCGGUAUGCUCCCCUCAGAACAUAACAACGGCCGCCAUUGUGGGCCUCAGAGCUGGCUCCUCGUGCAUGCAGCACAAAGCUAUCUGAACCAAUUUUUCAAUCUCUUAGGCUCGUCACUAACCCUCUAGCCCCGGGUCCGCUAGCUCUCUUUAAUGGAGAACAAUGAAGAAAUGAAACAAAUAUCAAGAAGAGGCCCAUCUGAAAUACCACCUGGACCGAUAGACAAUAAGCUGGGAGAGCCCGGCUACAAGGAGAGGUAUUAUGCUGAGAAAUUUAGUACGUCCAUUUCAGAGGAAACUGAGCAAAUCAUACAAGACUUGGUUUUGCACAUACUACUAUGCCACCCCAUUUGCUUCAGAUCUUAAGAAUCUGUCUGAUUUGGAAAUCACAUUUUUCAUUGGAAAGCCUGUUACACCUUUUGAUCAAAUUAGUGCGAACCCUACCGGCUGCAAGGUUCUUUCCUUUUUUUUUGUUUUGUGGAACCUUAAUCUUUAUAUAUUAAAACAGAAGUCAUAACCUUGAUUCAUGUGUGAUUUUUAAAAAAAUUGACCUAAUGGACUUAUUCAUA